rnacentral:rRNA from 1 species
UUUAGGUCGACCCGCUGAAUUUAAGCAUAUCAGUAAGCGGAGGAACGAGAAACUAACCAGGAUUCCCUCAGUAACGGCGAGUGAAGCGGGAAGAGCCCAGCGUCGAAUCCCCCCGCACCUGGCAGCGGACGGGAAAUGUGACGUAGAGGAAGCCGAGCUGGCCGCGCGCUGCGGUCCUCCAGUCCACCUGAUCGCGGCCCAAGCUCACCCGGCGCGGGUGACAGGCCCCUCGAGGCUCUCCGGGCGCGUCUGGUCAGCGAGCUUCCCAGGAGUCGGGUUGCUUGGGAAUGCAGCCCAAAGAGGGUGGUAAACUCCAUCUAAGGCUAAAUCCUGGCACGAGACCGAUAGCGGACAAGUACCGUGAGGGAAAGUUGAAARGNAACUUUGGRRGAGAGAGUUCAAGAGUACGUGAAACCGCAUGGAGUCUAAACGGGUGGACCCGCAAUAGCUCGUCGACCCGGGGAAUUCAGCCCGCGACUGUCGGCGGCCUAGCGCGGUUCGGCUCCGCCUUUCCCUCCACUCGCUUGGGGGGAGUCUGGGGCGGCUGCCGCCUACCGCGCCAAGGAACUCCGUCCGGCACUGCUCCGGGCGCACUUUCCACCGGGUCGAAGCCGCGUCCGGUUCUGCGUGCGGGUAGAAGCCGCGUCCACGCCAACGGACGGAUGUCGGGGCCUCGGCCUCGAUGUCGCCUGCUCCACCGGCGCCGCGGCGGCCUCGCUGCCGGGACCGAGGACUCUAUCUCGAUAGCCGCGUCUCCGGCGCUCCCCUUGUGCGCUCGCCCGCUCGACUGUGGCGGACUGCCUCGCGGCAGUGCGCCGCGACCGCUGGCCGGGCUUGCCGCUCGCGGGGGAAACCAAGCGCCGGGACGCCUAGGGUCGGCGGCACUUCACGGUCGGUKCWCYASYSKAMCCKUCUUGAAACACGGACCAAGGAGUCUAACAUGUGCGCGAGUCACGGGGAUUUCUCGAAACCCCAGGGCGCAAUGAAAGUAAAGGCGAGCUUCGGGCAAACUCGCCCAGGCAGGAUCCCGGUGCCGUGACAAGCGCCGGGCGCACUGCCGGCCCGUCCGACGCAGCGGGGGUUCUCCCUCCGUCUGCCGGGCGGAGCAAGAGCGCACACGUUGGUACCCGAAAGAUGGUGAACUAUGCUUGAGCAGGACGAAGUCAGGGGAAACUCUGAUGGAGGUCCGCAGCGAUUCUGACGUGCAAAUCGAUCGUCAGACUUGAGUAUAGGGGCGAAAGACCAAUCGAACCAUCUAGUAGCUGGUUCCUUCGAAGUUUCCCUCAGGAUAGCUGGCACACGUCUCAGCGGAAGUUUUAUCCGGUAAGCGAAUGAUUAGAGAGCUCGGGGACUAUUCCGCCCUCGAUCUAUUCUCAAACUUUUAAUGGGUAAAAGUCCGGCUCGCUUCCACAUACGGAAUUCCGAAAUUGCAUUGGAAGGGGGAAGAAGGCGGCGGCGGCAUCCGGGCGUCCCUCCGCGAACCCGAAGAAGCCAAAAUCCGGUGUGGGCCANNNGNCACUUUUUGGNAAACNAACUUGGGCGCUGUGGGAAUGACAAAGCCCNGUAGGCCCNUCACGCGCGGAUGUCUCAGCGAUCCUAGGNGGGGUGGUCUGUGUAUAAACGCACGGGACGNGGUGGCCCACAUG